UGACCCUAAAUCCCCCACAGCUCCCCCUCCGCCCUGCGGCCACAGCCCAGCCUUUGUUAGGCCUGGCCCAGCCCUGGCGGCUCCCAAGGCCAGGACACACCUGUUGGGGCCGGGAUUGGCCGCGCCAGGAAUGCACCUGCGCGGGGAGGGGUGAAGGGCUCCAUGUAAGACGAGCCUUGGCCUCGCUCCCCAUCCCUGCUCAACUCCGGCUCCAGCACGCAGCUCCUCCGACGCUCCGCGCAGGCCGAGCCCUUCCCGGCCUUUUUUUGGUCUCAGCUCUGUUUUUGCCGCCCUGCCAAAUCCAAGGUCGCGGAAGAGGAAAACUUCUCCCGGCUUCUCCUUCCCCACCUGGAUCUGAGCUGAGCUUUAGGAGAAGCUCCCAGCACUGAAUUUUUCUCCUGGAUUUCCUGGUAAGAUCCAAACUAUCCAGGUACAGCGGGGAGGGAAAAAGAAAAUUUUUAAAAAAAGGGAUUUAGGGAGCGCAAAAUCCACUUCUUGACGGCUUUUCCCAACUUUUCCAUGGAUAUUUCCAUGGAUGUUCCCUCUCUCCAGUUCACUUUCUCCAGGAUUCCGCCCUCUUUUCUCUUCCUCCUUCUCCCCCCAGGUGGAUUCGAGAGGGUUUUGUUGGACAGAUCAGGUUUUGUGUGUGCUGGGGGAGGGGAGGCCAGUGCAUGAAUCCAAACGUUCAUUUUACAACCAGUCCAACCAGUCAGGGCAGCUCCCGGCACAUCCAAGGGCUUGGAGAAGGAGGGAGUCAGAGGGGGAGAAGCUGCUCCCAGCCAGGGGCCGCAGGAAGAAAAAGGAGAAAAAAGAGAGUUUGGCAAAUUUCGUUAAAAUCCGAUUAAAAUCGGAAUAAAAUCGAUAGAAACGAGCGUAGCGUUGAGCGGUUCUUCCAAUUUAUGGAUUUAAGGGAGGAUUUCCCAGUUUUUGAGUAAAGUGAGGGUUUGAAAUCUGAGUUUGCUUCUUGCUUUGAGAAAAAAAAAACAAAAAGGAAUAUUGGGAAAAUCGGAUUAAAAUCGGAAUAAAAUCGAUAGAAACGAGCGUAGUGUUGAAGGGUUCUUCCAAUUUAUGGAUUUAAAGGAGGAUUUCCCAGUUUUUGAGUAAAGUGAGGAUUUGAAAUUCGAGUUUGCUGCUGUAUCUGAAAAAAAAAAAAGGAAUAUUUGGAUUAAUAUCCAAAUAAAGUUGAUAGAAAACGAGCAUGAAAUUGACAGGAGUUCUUUCAGUAAUUCUGGAUUUUGGGAUAUUUGGAUUUAAGGGAGGAUCUCCCAUUUUUGAGUAAAGUGAGGGUUUGAAAUCUGAGUUUGCUGCUUGCUUUGAGAAAAAAAAAAAAAAAAAAGGAAUAUUGGGAAAAUCGGAUUAAAAUCGGAAUAAAAUUGAUAGAAACGAGCGUAGUGUUGAAGGGUUCUUCCAAUUUAUGGAUUUAAAGGAGGAUUUCCCAGUUUUUGAGUAAAGUGAGGAUUUGAAAUUCGAGUUUGCUGCUGUAUCUGAAAAAAAAAAAAAGGAAUAUUUGGAUUAAUAUCCAAAUAAAGUUGAUAGAAAACGAGCAUGAAAUUGACAGGAGUUCUUUCAGUAAUUCUGGAUUUUGGAACAUUUGGAUUUAAGGGAGGAUCUCUCAUUUUUGAGUAAAGUGAGGGUUUGAAAUCUGAGUUUGCUUCUUGCUUUGAGAAAAAAAAAAAAAAGGAAUAUUGGGAAAAUCGGAUUAAAAUCGGAAUAAAAUCGAUAGAAACGAGCGUAGGGUUGAAGGGAGUUCUUUCAGUAAUUCUGGAUUUUGGAACAUUUGGAUUUAAGGGAGGAUCUCCCAUUUUUGAGUAAAGUGAGGAUUUGAAAUCUGAGUUUGCUGCUUGCUUUGAGGAAAAAAAAAGGAAUAUUGGGAAAAUCUGAUUAAAAUCAGAAUAAAAUCGAUAGAAAUGAGCGUAGGGUUGAAGGGUUCUUCCAAUUUAUGGAUUUAAGGGAGAAUUUCCCAGUUUUUGAGUAAAGAGAGGAUUUGAAAUCCAAGUUUACUGCUGGCUCUGAAAUAAAAUAAAGAAUAUUGGGAAAAUCUAAUUAAAAUCAGAAUAAAAUCGAUAGAAACAAGAGUAGCAUUGAAGGGGCUUCUUCCAAUAUUUCUGGAUUUUGGAAUAUUUGGAUUUAAAGGAGGAUUUCCCAGUUUUUGAGGAAAGUGAGGAUUUGAAUUCUGAAUUUGCUGCUGGCUCUGAAAAAAUAAAAGGAAUAUUUGGAUUAAAAUCCACAUAAAAUCGAUAUAAAAUGAGCAUGAAAUUGAAAGGGGUUCUUCCAAAAAUUCUGGAUUUUGGAAUAUUUGGUUUUAAGGGAGGAUUUCCCAGUUUUACACUAAAAGGGAAGUUUUGAAAUCUGAACUUGCUGCUGGCUCUGAAAUAAAAAAAUAAUAUUGGGAAAUCGGAUUAAAA